UCAACACAAUAUACUUGUGCUUUUGUCGGACAGCUCACUUCAAGCAUCAUGUUGUCUGAGAGAAUAUCUCCAGUCUCAAGUCUGCUUUUAGCUCUUUUUGUGACAAUUUCAGCCCAAACUGUGGAUUUUUACAAACCAUCAUUAGUCUCUGUGAAGUCUGGAGAAAGUGUUACGCUUAACUGCACAUUUCUGCACAGCAGUAGAUCAGAUCAUAUUGUUUGGUACAAACAAAGAUUUGGAGAGAUACCUCAGGAAGUUGGAGAAAGGUUUUUGCAUAUGGAUGUCAAAAUUUCUGCUCAUUUUAACAGCUCAAGAGUGAAAUUGGAGAAAAUUAAUAAUGGGAUUUCUUUGACAAUACGACAUUCAAAAAAAGAGGAUGAAGGACUUUACUUCUGUGGGCUAUCGAACUGGGAGAAGGUUACAUUUUUCAAUGGGACACUCUUGGCUGUAACAGGUAAUGAAGAUGUAAAAGUGUCAGUGUUGCAGCGCGGCAUGUCGGACUCGGUUCCUGCAGGAGCCUCAGUGACUCUGCAGUGCUCGGUUCUCUCUGAGAGCAGAGCAGCAGAACUCCAAGUGCUCUGGUUCAGAGCUGCUCCACCACAAUCCCAUCCUCAAAUCAUUUACACUCAUCACAACAGCAGCCAUCAGUGUGAGAGCGGCUCUUCUACACACACCUGUGUGUACACCUUCACCAAGAACAUCCUCAGCCUCAAUGAUACUGGAACUUACUACUGCGCUGUGGCCCUGUGUGGGAAGAUCAUAUUUGGGAACGGGACACGAAUACAGCUGGCUUCAGUUAAAUCUGUGGAUCCUGUAAUGAUCUGCCUCACAGUAGCUUUGGGAGUGUGUGUGGUUGUGAUCUUUGUUCAAGCCGUCUUGAACUGUAAAAGGAGAAGCUUGAGACUUCAACAAAGUUCUAUCAUAGAAAACAUCUCUAAACAGAGUGAUGCCGUGGAUCUGAAUUACACUGCCUUAUAUUUCAAUCCGAGAAAAAUGAAAAGAAAGAGAAGAAAGAAUGAUCCACCUCAAGACUGCGUGUAUUCUGAAGUGCUAAAACCGUCAGCUACGUAGAUCAGAUCCUAAAUAUUUCAGAUCAACUGUUUUCUGUUUCAUAUUUUUGUCAGUAUUGGAUUAUGGAGGAGCCUGAGCAAUAUUUUCAUGCCAAUUAUAUAGCAAUAAAUGUUCAAAACCAAUUUUUGAAAAUUGUUUGAUUAUUUCCGUUGUUCUAAAUACAAUAAAAUUCCACAGAAAUUUUAUAAUAAAUCUUAUCUUUUUCUCAGCCAUGCUGGUUUCACUCCUCUCUCAUCAAUACACCAGAAAGUAUAUUAAAUCAGUUAGUAGUUUUCUUCUAAAUGGUUGUUUUCUCUCUCAUGCUGUUUCAUGAAUGCUCAUGCUGGGCAUUAUGUUCUCUUUUUUUAUAGCUAUGAAUAGAAGCAGCUUGUGGUUUGAGGCCAAAGGCAGAUGGAGAUCUUUCGGAAGAAUGAGAAUGAGGUGGUUGAGAUGAAAAGCCUACAAAAGCUGAUGGUCUGAAAGGUCAAGAGGUCAAGAGCUUGGAGAGCAAAUCAUCCUACGGAUAUUUUUUUAUGGAUGAAAAGCAUUACAGUCUAUGAUCAUCAUUAGAUCAAAUUUUAAUCCAACACUUAAUCCAGACGACUGAAAAUAUAAACUAGUCACUACUAGUAUUGCUUAACUAACCAAGGCCACACAACCAUCUAACAUUAGCAAAUGGAGGAUGUUUUCUGUGAUAUAACUGAACUAACUGCUUCAUCUGUCCAGUUUUUUAAAUAACAAUACUGUUAGUGACAUAUUUGAUAAAUUUGGACACAUUUUCAUAAACUUGUCUAUACUUUCAUCUUCAAUGACAAUCCUUCCUUCCUUCUUUCCUUCCUUCCUUCCUUCCUUCCUUUAAAACUGACUUGAAAACACAGCAACAAAAAACCCAGGUUAUGAACAAGACUAUAGUAAACAAAGUGACAAACACUCAAUAUCACCUAAAGCUUGAUAGGAAGACACUGAAACACAGGAACUUACUGAGGUACUGACAUGUGACUGGGACAGAGUUUGCUCAACCACAAGAUUUUCCACUCAUCUCACAACAACAAAUAAUGGUUCAUAAAAUUUUCAAUAUUUUCAAAAUUCAUAUACAUUCUCUAAAAUUCACUUUGAAGCUGAUCACAGAACUAAAAAAUGUUCUGAAACGAUAAGAACACAGUGCAAGAGGUUCAAACCUCAUCACUCUCAGUAGCAGGCCUGAGUACUCGAAUUCCCCCGAUUAUCCUGACUAUCACUCCUUUUGCUUGGAAUUGGGAGCUUUAUGAUAUAAAGUAAUUGUAGUGACAGAUAUAAAACUAAAUUAUUGCCAUGUGUGAACUUGAAUUCUGUAUCUCUCAGGUAAACAUCUGUCUGUCUGGGUUUUUUUGUAUGUUUCUGUUCGCACCACUGACUUCUGGUGGCUGAAAGAGGUUACACAGCAUUUCAGUGGAAAUUUUAUAUAAACUUGUGACGUGACAGAGAGGUUAAAUAGGGUUUGGAGUUUCAGGCGUUUAGUGCUUUUGCCAUUCAGACAUUUGAAAGUUUCACUGUUUUUCAUGAGCAUGACUCUGGUCUGGAUUUUCAUUUUUUCUUUCUGCAAACUGUACUCAUCACAACCUAUAGAUUUUGAUGAAGCAGUCUCACUCGUCUCUGCUGACCUUGGUCAAGCCGUUAUUCUUCAUUGCACAGUGGGAGUAAAGUCCAGUAGUGAUCUUAUAUUGUGGUACAAGCAAAAACUGGGAGGGAUCCCUCAGGGGCUCGGGAUGAUCGGAGUGUUGAGCGGUGAAAUAAUUUUAGCGCCAUUCAAUAAGACUGCAUUUCAUCUAACCAGAACUGGUAGCUUAAUUUCUCUGAAUAUUCUUCAUGCUAAUAAAGAUGAUGAAGCGAUGUACUUCUGUGGAGCAUCUCGAGUGAAUGUUAUUGAGUUUUCCAAUGGAAUGUUUUUAUCUGUAAGAGAUAAACCACAUCUGGGCAUCAUGGUGUUGCAGCGCGGCAUGUCGGACUCGGUUCCUGCAGGAGCCUCAGUGACUCUGCAGUGCUCGGUUCUCUCUGAGAGCAGAGCAACAGAACUCCAAGUGCUCUGGUUCAGAGCUGCUCCACCACAAUCCCAUCCUCAAAUCAUUUACACUCAUCACAACAGCAGCCAUCAGUGUGAGAGCGGCUCUUCUACACACACCUGUGUGUACACCUUCACCAAGAACAUCCUCAGCCUCAAUGAUACUGGAACUUACUACUGCGCUGUGGCCCUGUGUGGGAAGAUCGUAUUUGGGAACGGGACAUCACUACAGCUGGCACAGUCUGUGAAUCCGUUACUGAUUGUUCUGGCAACGGCUUUGGGAGCGUGCUGGAUUCUGAUUGCUGCUCAAGCCGUUUUCAUUUGCAAAAGGACGCAUUCUAAACACCACAGCGAGAGACUUCAUCAAAGUACCGAGGUAGAAAGAACAACUGAUCAGGGUCAUGAUGUGGAGUACACAGCUUUACAUUUCAAUAAUAAGAAAACCAAAAGUGGGAGGAGGAAGAGCAAACAACCUGAAAACAUUGUGUACUCUGAAGUGAGACGUCUCACUGUCACUGACUAAUGCAGAAGUUUUUAAGUUCCUGCUAAUUCCUUGAUUGAGAUUUGCUGGAAGUAUGUGGAAGAACUAAAUCUCACUAAAUCCAUCCUGGUAACAUCUCUUCAGAAGGUUCUUGACCACAUUUGUAGUUGGGUCCUAAGCAAUAAAAUGACUCUAAAACAGCUGGCAGAAUCAUGAUAGGGACAUUUAUAAGAAACACACCUUCUCAUAUACCUAUAUCAUGAUGUGUGAAGAAUUAAUCUGUAAUCUGAUCUACAUGGGGAUCAUCAUGCAGCAGUAACACCUUCUUGUGUCUCGUUUCAUCCACUCAAACCACGGAAAGUCAGGAAGUGCCAGUAUUCAAUUUAAUUUUAUUUCUACAGUGCUUUUAACAAUGGACUUUGUCUCAAAGCAGCUUUACAGAACAUAAGAAAUAUAGAACAAAA